rnacentral:rRNA from 1 species
CCUACGGGUGGCAGCAGUAGGGAAUAUUGCUCAAUGGGGGAAACCCUGAAGCAGCAACGCCGCGUGGGGGAUGAAGGUUUUCGGAUUGUAAACUCCUUUUGUUAGAGAAGAUAAUGACGGUAUCUAACGAAUUAGCACCGGCUAACUCCGUGCCAGCAGCCGCGGUAAUACGGAGGGUGCAAGCGUUACUCUGAAUCACUGGGCGUAAAGAGCGCGUAGGCGGGAUAGCAAGUCAGAUGUGAAAUCCUAUGGCUUAACCAUAGAACUGCAUUUGAAACUGUUAUUCUAGAGUAUGGGAGAGGUAGGUGGAAUUCUUGGUGUAGGGGUAAAAUGCGUAGAGAUCAAGAGGAAUACUCAUUGCGAAGGCGACCUGCUAGAACAUAACUGACGCUGAUGCGCGAAAGCGUGGGGAGCAAACAGGAUUAGAUACCCUAGUAGUC